rnacentral:rRNA from 1 species
GACGAACGCUGGCGGCGUGCUUAACACAUGCAAGUCGAACGGAAAGGCCCUGCUUUUGUGGGGUGCUCGAGUGGCGAACGGGUGAGUAACACGUGAGUAACCUGCCCUUGACUUUGGGAUAACUUCAGGAAACUGGGGCUAAUACCGGAUAGGAGCUCCUGCUGCAUGGUGGGGGUUGGAAAGUUUCGGCGGUUGGGGAUGGACUCGCGGCUUAUCAGCUUGUUGGUGGGGUAGUGGCUUACCAAGGCCUUGACGGGUAGCCGGCCUGGAAGGGUGACCGGCCACAUUAGGACGGGGAUGCGGCCCAGACCCCUACGGGAGGCAGCAGUGGGGAAUAUUGCACAAUGGGCGGAAGCCUGAUGCAGCAACGCCGCGUGCGGGAUGACGGCCUUCGGGUUGUAAACCGCUUUCGCCUGUGACGAAGCGUGAGUGACGGUAAUGGGUAAAGAAGCACCGGCUAACUACGUG